rnacentral:snRNA from 1 species
AGAAGAACAAGUAUGGAGUUGGUGGCUCCGUCGAUCACCAGGGUUGACUUGGUUGAUGUGGCUGCCUGGCUGGGCGUCCUCUUCCUCCCUCACUGUUCCUCACUCCACAUGCAUCCCUCCCUAAGCUACACGCUUGGUUCAAGAGGCCGAUCUUCCCCAGUGGAGGAGGACCGGUCUUCUGUCAAAGGCAAACAAGUGGUUGCAGUCCCCCGCUAGACCUUUGAACAAGCUCUUGAGACUGAACCCUGAGGCUGCAAAGACUGGCGUCCCAGACGGCACGGGGUACAGUGUCACUUCUACCAUGUUCAGGUGGUCAAAGUGGGU